UAUCUGUCACUCACUCUGACGCCACUCGCCAUUCCAUCACACACAAACACACCUGCUGUCACUCCUUCUUCUGUUAACACUUCUCCUUUCAAAUAACUGCCUGAAUUUGGUGCUUCAUGACAACAAACAGAGGACGAUUUUGGUAUAAAUAGCAAUAUGCAUUUUGGAUAUGCUCACUGCUUACUUAUUACUCCCACCAGCAGGGGUGUCACUGUAGUUCCCUCAGAUAUACUCCCAGUUAGUGAGGCAAUCCAUGAGGUAGAGAUUGUUCCAAAAGAGUACCUUUGACUACUGUCAACAGCUGCUACUGGACUAAAGCUGGCAAUUGGUUCAUUGUGGGCGGGAAAGAUUGAAGGCUAAGCUUAUAGUGUUGACCCUUUAAACAAAAAAAUGAGUGCCCACUCCUAUGUCUAAGAAUGAUAUAUGCCUAGCAAUGUUGCUGGUAGCAACAGAAAGAUGCCAAGGCAUCAUGAAGUUUCCAUCAAUACAAAUGAGCUACUAAGUGAAAGUGAGUUAGCCAGGAGUCAUAAGAAGAGUUCAGGAAGUUGUGCCCUUGAUAUUAAACAAGUGUCUCAGCUGUCAAGAGAGUAUGAGUAAUACCUAUCAUUAUCUUGACAAACAGUCUGAUGUAGGAAGUAAUGAGAUUGUCAUCUAAAACAUUGUCAUCUACACCAUUGUCCCCAAAGUCCAGUCAGCUGUGGUCCCCCAAGCUAUUUUCAGUAUAGCCAUAAUUGUAAAAAAACCACACACACAAAAACACCACCUCCUAUUACCUUGGGCAUCGAAAGCAGAGUGGCAAGCCAACCAAAUGUGCCCUUCAACAUCCAACAGAAAGCCCCACCUCAGCACAAAAUAAGAACAACAAACAACAUAAUUAACAGACUCAGCCGGAGAACAAGCAUAGUAAUGACACCACUCUGAAGGCAGCAGGUGUGAAGAAUUAGGAACAAGCUAGCUAUGAGAGUUUAUCCCUGGCAUUUUAAACCAGGGGUGGCAGACCUGUGAACCUCUAAAUACUCUGGACUCCAGUGCCCAUCAGCUCCAGCCAACAUAGCCAGUGGUGAGGAAUGAUGGAAGUUAAGAGUCCAACAACAUCUGGAUGUCUCUGGUGAGACAUCCCAGAGCAUGUCCUCCAGAUAGACUACGGAGAUUAUUCUGCCCCACCUACUUUCCUCUCACAUCUGCCAGGUGUAAACAACAACAGCAACCUAGAAUCCUGCUUGUUACUAUAAGGGGAAUGUAAGCAAAGAGGCUGGCAGAGGAACAGGGGAGGGAGUACAGUAUUAACAUCCUCUCUUGGUGCUUUUGAUUAUACUGAAAUAGACCAAGGGAUAAAAAGCUGUAAAAUGAACCAAACAUAUAAUUGUGGGGUUUUA